UUUGGUGGCGAUAGCGGAGGGGUUCCACACGUACCCAUCCCGAACACGACCGUUAAGCCCUCCAGCGCCGAUGGUACUUGGACCGCAGGGUCCUGGGAGAGUAG
rnacentral:rRNA from 1 species